rnacentral:rRNA from 1 species
CACGUAGGGUGCGAGCGUUGUCCGGAAUUAUUGGGCGUAAAGAGCUCGUAGGCGGUGUGUCGCGUCGGCCGUGAAAACCUGCAGCUUAACUGUGGGCGUGCGGGCGAUACGGGCAGACUUGAGUACUGCAGGGGAGACUGGAAUUCCUGGUGUAGCGGUGGAAUGCGCAGAUAUCAGGAGGAACACCGGUGGCGAAGGCAGCCUUCUGGGCCAACACUGACGCUCAUGCACGAAAGCGUGGGGAGCAAACAGG